UAGGGAAUCUUCCGCAAUGGGCGAAAGCCUGACGGAGCAACGCCGCGUGAGUGAUGAAGGUCUUCGGAUCGUAAAACUCUGUUAUUAGGGAAGAACAAAUGUGUAAGUAACUAUGCACGUCUUGACGGUACCUAAUCAGAAAGCCACGGCUAACUACGUGCCAGCAGCCGCGGUAAUACGUAGGUGGCAAGCGUUAUCCGGAAUUAUUGGGCGUAAAGCGCGCGUAGGCGGUUUUUUAAGUCUGAUGUGAAAGCCCACGGCUCAACCGUGGAGGGUCAUUGGAAACUGGAAAACUGGAGUGCAGAAGAGGAAAGUGGAAUUCCAUGUGUAGCGGUGAAAUGCGCGGAGAUAUGGAGGAACACCAGUGGCGAAGGCGACUUUCUGGUCUGUAACUGACGCUGAUGUGCGAAAGCGUGGGGAUCAAACAGG
rnacentral:rRNA from 1 species